rnacentral:rRNA from 1 species
CAAGUCGAACGAGAAAGUGGAGCAAUCCAUGAGUAAAGUGGCGCACGGGUGAGUAACACGUGACUAACCUACCCAGGAGUGGGGGAUAACUGAGGGAAACCUUAGCUAAUACCGCAUAACACCUACGGGUCAAAGGAGCAAUUCGCUUCUGGAGGGGGUCGCGGCCGAUUAGUUAGUUGGCAGGGUAAUGGCCUACCAAGACGAUGAUCGGUAUCCGGCCUGAGAGGGCGCACGGACACACUGGAACUGAAACACGGUCCAGACUCCUACGGGAGGCAGCAGUGGGGAAUUUUGCGCAAUGGGGGAAACCCUGACGCAGCAACGCCGCGUGGAGGAUGAAGUCCUUCGGGACGUAAACUCCUUUCGAUCGGGACGAUUAUGACGGUACCGGAAGAAGAAGCCCCGGCUAACUUCGUGCCAGCAGCCGCGGUAAUACGAGGGGGGCGAGCGUUGUUCGGAAUUAUUGGGCGUAAAGGGUGCGUAGGCGGUUUGGUAAGUCUGAUGUGAAAUCUAUGGGCUCAACUCAUAGUCUGCAUCGGAAACUGCCGGGCUUGAGUGUGGGAGAGGUGAGUGGAAUUCCUGGUGUAGCGGUGAAAUGCGUAGAUAUCAGGAGGAACACCUGUGGCGAAAGCGGCUCACUGGACCAUAACUGACGCUGAUGCACGAAAGCUAGGGGAGCAAACAGGAUUAGAUACCCUGGUAGUCCUAGCCCUAAACGAUGACUGCUUGGUGUGACGGGUACCCAAUCCCGCCGUGCCGUAGCUAACGCGUUAAGCAGUCCGCCUGGGGAGUACGGUCGCAAGGCUGAAACUCAAAGGA